UUCCUACGGGGGGCAGCAGUGGGGAAUAUUGGGCAAUGGGCGCAAGCCUGACCCAGCAACGCCGCGUGAAGGAAGAAGGCUUUCGGGUUGUAAACUUCUUUUCUCAGGGACGAAGAAAAUGACGGUACCUGGGGAGGAAGCUCCGGCUAACUACGUGCCAGCAGCCGCGGUAAUACGUAGGGAGCGAGCGUUGUCCGGAAUUACUGGGUGUAAAGGGAGCGUAGGCGGGGAUGCAAGUUGGGUGUCAAAACUACCGGCUCAACUGGUAGUCGCACUCAAAACUGCAGCUCUUGAGUGAAGAAGAG
rnacentral:rRNA from 1 species